GAUGAACGCUGGCGGCGUGCCUAAUACAUGCAAGUCGAGCGGACGGACGAGAAGCUUGCUUCUCUGAUGUUAGCGGCGGACGGGUGAGUAACACGUGGAUAACCUACCUAUAAGACUGGGAUAACUUCGGGAAACCGGAGCUAAUACCGGAUAAUAUUUUGAACCGCAUGGUUCAAAAGUGAAAGACGGUCUUGCUGUCCCUUAUAGAUGGAUCCGCGCUGCAUUAGCUAGUUGGUAAGGUAACGGCUUACCAAGGCAACGAUGCAUAGCCGACCUGAGAAGGUGAUCGGCCACACUGGAACUGAGACACGGUCCAGACUCCUACGGGAGGCAGCAGUAGGGAAUAUUCCGCAAUGGGCGAAAGCCUGACGGAGCAACGCCGCGUGAGUGAUGAAGGUCUUCGGAUCGUAAAACUCUGUUAUUAGGGAAGAACAGAUGUGUAAGUAACUGUGCCCAUUUUGACGGUACCUAAACAGAAAGCAACGGCUAACUACGUG
rnacentral:rRNA from 1 species